GCUGGGUGCGGUGGCCCACGCCUGUCAUCCCAGCAGCUCAGGAGGCUGAGGCAGGAGGAUCGUGAGUUCAAAGCCAGCCUCAGAAAAGCGAGGCCCUAAGCAACUCAGUGAGACCCUGUCUCUA
rnacentral:sRNA from 1 species